UCUGUGUCAGAAACCUAUGAUAUGUCAAAUAUUUAAUCACAAUCCAAAUCCAGAGCUGUAUCAAGCUUGAAUGUAGUGACCAUACUUGCCCCAACUGUUCAGGGUUCAACCUCUACAGUAAUUUCAAGCUACACCAAGCGGAGCAUUUUAUUAACCGGAUUUUCGAAGGAAUAUCGGUUAUUGAUUUGGGGAUGUACGGCGGGCGGACGGGCGGCUGCCAAACAGUGUCUCUUCAAUAACAUGAAAACGCUGAGAUGAUUUUUUUUCAAAUUUAGAUAUGUUGUUUCUUGUGACUAAAUGAAGGUCAAGUUCAAUUUUCACUAUUUUAGUAUUUCUCCUUUUUGAGUUAUCACCAUUUUUAAUAUCCAAAAGUGGUAUUUUUUAAAAAAUUUUCUCUUGUUAUCAUAUUAUGACUAAGCGUAUGGUAAAUGUCUUAUCUCACAAUAAAAAUUGGAGUGGCAGAUUUA